UCUCCUCGCAGUAUGAGGCGACACAGAACCUCACAGAGGUUGUGGACACAGACAGGAAGCCUCGCCUGCAGCGUUAAGUCAAACCACAGUGUUACUUCCUGGAAAACAUCGGCUUUUGUUUUUUAUCUCAAACCAAUGAGCUUGUUUUUUUCUUUCCUCGGCUACUGCAGCAUGUGGAAGGGCUCCGACUAACUGUACAACUUGAAUCGGUCACUUUGGACUCCAGACUUUGGGGUGAAGGUGUCCAGACGCUUUCUCCCCGUCAUCAUGCUGAAGUACCACAUGCACAGGGGCAUCUUUUGCAAACAACAAACCACAUUCUGAGGACGUGCUCGUGAGAAGAAAGAGGAGACAACACAACCACCGACGCAGACUUCUUCCUUUGCAGUAUCAGUGUAAAGCCCUCAUCAGCACGCUGCAGGCGGAACAGCCGCUGUUCUGACGAUGUUAAACACCAGACGUCACCCACACACACUGCCGCCACAUCCAAUGGCAAGAGACUGUAAAGCGCUUUGAGAGGUCGCUGUGCCCGUCUGACGACAAGCAGCCGCGAAAACUGAGGCGUUCACAUGGCACAGGUGGUAAGCCAAUGCGGCCUCAAUCAGACCAGGAGUUGUGUGUUUGUGUCUGCUUCAUGGUUUGCGUGUGGGCUCUUGGUGUGCGUGUUACCGUGCUGAUUGGUGUGCGAAUGAGCGUGUGCGUGUUUCUGCUUGAUCUCACCGAUUUCAUUUGUCUGCUGUUGAUCGUGCAUGUGUAGGUAUAUGUCUUCGCCCUCGCCCUGUGUGUGUCCUUCAUGUGCUGUGUGCGUUACAUCGUUGUGCGUCUGAUCUUCUUGUGUCUGCGUGUGCGUGUGCGUGUGCGGCUCCUCCG